AGGGAGCACACUGAUAGAUGUCUGAUUUGCCCAUCUGGUGUGUGAAGUAACCUGGUAGGGCUGUUGGGUGCCUGGGUGCUUAGACAUUAAAGAACCACCAACACAGGAUCUUGGGCUCCCAGCAAACUGCUACCUGGGUGUUAUCUCUGGAGCCCCAACAUCUAGGACCACCAGUUAGGACUGCCACUCCCUAAAGCCAAGAGAGAGAGAAGCCGCCGAACUCAAUCCCAUUGAAUCUUUAACUCAAGUAAUGACUUGCUUGUUCACUUUGGCCCUAUAAUCUAUUUUUAAAUAGUAAGGGGUGGGGGAAUCAGUAUCUAACGAUCAGUGGGGUUAACCUAUUUUAUAUUUUCCAUUAAAAUAAAAAGAGACCUUGAAUUACGAUUUUUUUAAAUCCUUUAUUGGAUUGGAAUUUUUGUUGAGAAAAAUAUUGAUCUUCGAUAUCAGUCAUUAUCGAAGAAAAAUCUUAUUUGGACACUGAAGGAGAACUGGACUCGGAGUGACGGUAUCUCACAAGGAUUCUGGCAGUGAAGUGCCUAGGAUUCUUCUAGAUUCUACCUCUGAAGUCAUCCUCACCCUGCACCAAAGUGACCCUGACUAAAAGCCUGAAAACAACAAAAGAGAAAGCAUGCGCGCACGUGUUUUGAGAUCAUAAGGAGCUGAAAGGGCUGAUUUUGUAACUUUCCACAGAAGCUGUGUCUUUUUGGGAGUUUUUUAAAGAAGUCCUCAAAAAUAUUUGUUCACAAGCUUUUGUUACUUUCCUACACAAUCCUUUCAUCCAAAGGGAAGUUUUUAAGCUCAGGUGUUUUAAAAAAUUGAACUUCAUCCUAGGUAGAUUUCUGGACAGAUUUAAUUACCAGUGCUCUUCAUCUUUAAUAGAAUUUUGUCUUGGACCCUGGCAAUUAUUAAGACUCGUGCCUUGAAUACUCACUUUAUUGGUUGGCAGCUCUCUUUCUUUUAGGUAUAUCUAAGGCACCUGCCACCUUGUUAUCUAGUUGCUGCGAUGGAAGAAGUAUGGGUUGUCUACUUGUGCCUGUUCUUGCUUGUCUUGAUUCUUAUUUUGAGGAAGCAAAACCCUGAUUUGGAGGCUGUAAAGAAAGAAAAGGAAAGCAAAAGCUCUCCACCACCAACCACUUACUAUCCCAGUACUCCAGGCAAACAUCUGGAAUACUCUGAAGAAGAAAUGGAGAAGUCUUUUGAGAAGCUAACCAGCAUCUUGUUUGAUUCAGAAGCUAGAAAAAGGGAAGCCCAUCAUGAGCAGAAGUCCCACCACCAUCACAGAACAGCUGAUGCUGAAACUAAAGACCUCACAGGAAAGGGGCCAGGACAAUCCCAGUAUCAGUCAAGCCAGCACAGGGUUCAGGAGAAAACAACUCCUUCUGGAGGCGUUGAGAGUAUCAUGGCUGAGAUUGAACAAGCAGUGCAGGAGACAGGAGACACAGUUGUACAUAUGCGGAGAAGACAGCACCCCACCAUUCCCAGGAGGCAACAUCAGGGCCAAUGGACUGAAAUGACUGGUCAACCUGAGUCUGAUGAAAUCUAAGGCAGAUCCUGCUCCUGUUUCUCCUGUGUGUGGUGGCAGCUUGCAGAAGUAGUGACAUUGUAGCCUUCCUGGAGGAGACCUGAAGUAGCAUGCGGAGUGGCAGGGGGGUGUCCUUGAGCAUGGUGGGGUGGGAGGGGGUGCUGCACAUUGUACAUUGUAGUGACCUUUGAUUUGAUUUUUUUAAGGCUAAAAGCUUUUCACUUUCCCUAGUGAAACCAGGUCAAAUACAUUUGCUGUUUCUUGAGAAUGAACUUCCCAUCAUGUUUGCAGAUCUGCAAACUUAAUCUGAUUUGAAAUUAAUUCAUGGCUGGCAGGCUAAAACAAGCCCCUUCCCUGUUCCUCAGAGUAGUCUUAGCUUCCCAUGGGACCCCCGUGCCUGGUAUACAGUGGCCAGCACUAGGAAGAGGAGCAACCUCUACAGGCAGAAGAAGUGACAGACUCAAGAAACACUCAAACUUUUUGGCCUAGUCGGUUCCCUUUUAUAUUUUGGCAUGAAAAACCUGUCACAGCCCUGCUCUGUCCUGCAGCAAAUCCCUUUGCUUUGAGUUGUCCUGUGACUAUGAAUGCUCUGCCUGUGCCAUUUCCUGCCUCCACAGGAAUACUUGGUGCCAGCUGAGGGACUCUUUAGCUAGCAAACAUCUGUGUCUUUUCUCUCUCCUUUUUUUUGUACAGGCUGCAUUGGGCCCUGUUAUUUACCCAGCAGACAGAGAACCACAGACUGUCUCCAUACUCUAAGACUUGUGCUUCUGAUUGUGAGAUACUGGGGGUCAGAUUUUGUUCUUUCUUACACUGGUGUAAAUCCCAGGCAACUCCACUGCAGUGAAUGGAGUCAUGCUGGGUUUACACCCCUGUAGGCAAGAUCAGAAUCCAGACUUGAUGCAUUACAACUAGCACGCACUCAGAUGUGCCAUUGCUGGGCAGCCUUUACUGUUGGAAUUUAUGGCAGUCUCUGUCUCAAAUUGAUCCCAGCGUUGUACUCAAGUUCAGCAUUCUGAAGAGCUCCUACCACUUGGGUAGGGACAGGCACUUUGGUACACAGGGUCAGGUUGUGGGUUACUCCAUGAACUCGAACCAUUUCAAAGAUGCUUAACUUUCCAGCAGCAAAGAGAGCCUGUUUUGUAUCUCUUACUGCCCUGACUUGUCCUACAGAAGUCAAUGCAGUUCUUCACAGGGGGAAGGGCUGAAAGAUCUGACACUAAGCCUAUAUUGCCGAGCAACAGUUGCAUAUAGCAGAUGUUGCUGGAAGCUCAGUAACUGUAACCAUCCCAGGAAUACAAUAGCUGCUUGCACAGCACAGGUUCUCUUGCUGGUGUGACACAAUGGGAUAUGUAGGUGUUCAUAAGAAACCAGUUAGUCUGACAUGGGUCAGAUGAUCUGAGGAUCCAGCUGGGUCCAAAAACCAAAGCCAUUUCCUAUUGCCUUAAUAGAGUGUUUUAAUUUAGAAUAGAAACCAGUGUUCUGAGCAUACAGCUGCAUAUCUUUAUUUAGCACUCUAGUCCCAUUUGAGCAACCUUUCAAAGCCACUCCCUUUAUGGCAGGGGUUUUAUGGCUGGGCCAGGAGUUCUGCCUGUUGCAGUAAAUUAGACUGGGUUGUGUAGGAGGCCUGAGGAAGCCAGAGGGCAGGAAAAGGAAGAGUAAUACCCAGUGGGAGAGAUGUGGUUACCACUAACCACUCCAGGUGCUCAUUAAAACAGUCCACCUGCAGUUUCAGUUCCAAGCUGCAAUGUAAAACCCAGACCCCAUGAGACAAAGUCAUUCCCCAACCUAGUGCUAUGGGUUUGCCUUAGUCCAGUUCAGUGAGCAGCAGAGGGGCAUCUGGGCUGGGCUUCAGUUGUUAGUAGCAUGUGGAAAAUUUCUCAACAAGUCAAAUACAUUCCUGUUGCUUUACGAGGGAUCAUUUCCCUGGAAUCGCAAUAUGGAGAAAUGUUGCCCAUUGGAAUGUUUAUUUUUUAACUGCUUGAAUGGACAAACACAUACUCCCCCGAGACCUGAACUGGCAGGGACUCUGGGGUUCUGGGAAUGCAGUAGGGAGGAAUUUAACUCCCAUUAUAUUUUGUCCUUCAAUCACUCUGCCUUAGAGACCACUAACCUCCUCCAGACCCAAGCAGUACAAAAGUAACUCUCAGCAGGUCCCUGUUCAUGACUGGAGGGAGAUUCAGUGCUCUGGGGAUGGAAGAAAGCUAAAGUAGCUAAAUGCAAGGACUUCCUCACACCUUCAUCUAGAACAGACACAGGUGGGGAAAGGCACUAAAGCUAUGCACAAUGGGAUAUCAGUGGAAAUCAGACUGCAGUAACCCUCAGCAAGAUGGGGACUGUUCAGCCUGUAAGAACUGGAGUAAAAGCAGUCCUGCUUGACCUGUUGGGAACUCCAUCUGGCAAUAGCCAUUUCUCCAAGAGAUGACACAUAGCACAGGCCCACUGAAAGGACAGUCUGCCACAGAAACAAGAGAGCAUGCAAUCCUAGGUGUCUUGAUCCAGAGACUCAAGGUAAAUGAUAAUGACAGUGAGUGGCUAAAGGAUUCAGGAUACAUUGUGCUAGGUGCUGUACAUGCAUGUGAGACCUGAGUAUUGGUUAAGACCAGGAGCUCCUUAUACAGAUAGCCCCAAAAUCCUGUCCGGGCAGACAUUGGGCUUGGUGGGUUUUCUAAUGAAGGAGGCUCUCUCAUAGGUUUUUCCAUAGUAAAUAGUAAAUGAUAUUGUGCCCUUGGUAUCACACUUUGGCCCCAUCAAGGGUAAAUAUCCCCAGGACAAAGCAAUUUCAUGCCAUUGAAUCCAGUGUGGCAGCCUUUCCAUGUAGGAGGAGACACAUUUUGUACUGGAAGCAUGUGAGGAUGUCUCCAGGUUAGAAGUGAGAUGCAUGUUAGAAGUGCUUUGCAGCGGUAGCCUUGGCUUCAUAGAGGACUAGAGAUGCUGCAGUAUCCAGUAACGUAGAUUAGAUAGAAAAUAAUGUUCCUGUUCAUGGCAGGGAGGGAGCUCAGAGGAGUAGUUGUAAUGGCAGUAGAGUGGAUGUUGGGGUGGGUGGAUGGGGUUAAAAUGCACAGGUGCAGGCCACAGAGGCAAUGUUUACACUGCAUUUGGGAGGUGCAACUGGAGCAUGUUCCAACAGCAGAGAAACUGCAGCUGCACAGGCUGUUGCUUGGGCAGCAUGAGCCCGCCAUGGCCUUCUGUGCUGCCCCAGCUUCACCGUGAUGGUUACCCACACUGGCUAGCAUGAGCCUAGUGCAGGUUUGUCCGUGUGUCCUGCAGCUGUAUCUCUGGGUACAGUAUUACUAUUGUUAGAAGAAGGGAGGAAAAUCCCAGCUAUGGGAAUUUAAGUGAUCCAGGAGACCCUGGACUAGAAAAAGCUGAUCAGAAUAGACUUGAGGAUAUCAGGAGAAACUCUGCCAAGCCAAUGAUAUACCUGCAUUUGUAUUUAUGUGUAUGUACAUACGGAAGAGUCACUAUGGUCUUUGUUACUGAUCAGAGUAAAAUCAUUAAAAACUGAGCUCUUAUUGCUUCUGGCUCUCUUUAUUCUGUAAUGGUGCUUGAGUGCUCUCUGCCCAUUUCUUUACUUCUGCUUCUGUGAACUAAAACUUUCUCUUAUUUCCCUUACUGUAAAUUCAGACCAGCUUCACUGAAGUCAAUGGAGUUACUCCAAACCUGAUGUGAAUGGGAGCAGACUGUGGACCAAGAUUUCAGCUGUUGUGAACUGCACAGUGUAGCACUCUGCUGAAUAUCACCAGCUGGGCCUCUGGUCUGAAUGCUUUUAAAUGCAUCAUUGGAGAGAUACGAUUUCAAAUCUAAGGAGCUUUCCAAGUUUACAGGAGAUGCUGGUGCAUGGGAUAAUGAGAUCCUGGCUCUGGGGGAGUUCUCAUAAGGAAGCUGCUUUCAAAAUAAAUCAGAAAGGAAUCACCAUUUCAGCAACUCUUCAUGUCAACAUAAAUAUUUAAAGAGACAACUAAGGCACUGGUCAGAAUAGCCCUGCUUUUCUGCUCUUUAGAGCUAAUGAAAAAGGCUGCCUGUGUACAAUGUUCCGGCUUUCAUUUUCAAAGGGAAGAGUUCUAGCCCUCCUACCGGUGGAGAAAGACUUGAAAACAUAACCUCGUCUCCUCCCCCCCCCCCAAGUCUCAGAAAA